CGGGUGUGGCCAGAUCUCGGCCCGUGGGUCUGAGGGUGGCGAAGUAUCCUGAACAGAAGCAGUCUCACCCCAGGCUCCCAGGGCCUCUGGGGAGGGGCUGGGGGCCUCUGCCCAGGGUAGGGGCCCCCCACCCCCCACCCUCAGUCUCUGCAGAGGUCGGGAUUGCGGUGUCCUGCAGGGGUCGAUGCAGGCUGUGCAGCCAUGGCUUUCACCCCAACCCUGGCCGGCCUCACUGUUUCUCUUGCAGAUGGUCCUGACCUUUUCCUUGUGUCCUUUGACCCCAACCCAACCACCUACUCACCGUGGGGCUCCUCAGGAAAGCUGGCCCAAAGGGGUGGAUGCAGGGAGCUGCACAGCUUUACUCACAACAGCCCCAGUGCCUGUCAGCGAGUGAAGAGACAAACACAUGUGGUCCACUCACAUGACCAGAGGAAUACUGGUCAGCCCUGAAAAGGGAGGAUCCUGCUACAGCACAGAUUACCCCUGAGGACAGGAUGCAGAGUGAACUAAGCCAGUCACAAAAGUACAUUGCAAUUUGCUUCUGCAAGACCCACAAAGCACCGUAGUCAAAGUCAUAUCAAGAGCAGAAUGGUGGUGCCUGGAGCUGGAGAGGGGAUGGGGUAUUCGUAUUUACCAGGAACAGAAUUUCAGGGUUACAAGAUGAAGAGUCAGGUUGGAGGUCAAGUGGGGUCCCUGAGGCUGCCCCUGGACUGGGUGCAAGGAGGGGUGGCCAUCCAUGAGUGGACCCAAUGGACCCUCGCUGUGGACUCGGUCAUCUGCUGAAUGACCACAUGGGUUCCCGGGCACAGCCACAGCCUCCCGUUGGGCAGCUUGGUACCAGGGCAGCGUGCCCGCAUCCCAGGCCCCAUGGCUGCUCACCUGUCAAAUACUGUCAUCCACUUCCUCUUUUCUUACUUGUAGAGCUUUCAUAGUGGUACUUUCAACUAACAGACUUUAUUUUUUAAAAUAGUUUUGGGCUUGCUGAAAAGGAAACAGACAUCCCUCAUCCCUGCCCCAGACACACUUGCAGAUGCAUGCUUGGCUCCAGUUAAGGGGCCCACGCUGCCAGCCACGGAGGACUGUGAGGACAGGGACCUCACCAUAUGGCACAAAGCACGUCCACAGCCCUGCAAACUCUCACCUUCCCCUCCCCUGAGGCCUGAUCCUUGCCUUUUCC
ensembl:lncRNA